UGAAUGCUUAUGCGUCGACCAUUUACCCGGAGCAAGUCGAACUGACGUACCUGUGGUGGAAGAUUUUUCGUGAAAUUAUUCAAAAUUAUUAAAAAAUUAGUGAAUUUAGAUAGUGUUUUUUAUGUGUAUCAAUUAGACGUGUCUUCAGUUCUUGGUGGCUGAUAAAGAUUACGUACGUAAUGCGAAAAUUUGGACCCCGGUAUCUUGGUUAUAAGUCGUACAAUUUGAAACGACGCUUGUCGGCGAUGGCUUUUGGAGGUUAUACGUACUGCGACUAGAGGGCUGUAACAGUACUGAUUGCUCCGGUUGCCGCCCAUUGACGAAGGAGGAACGUCCGUUCGUUGGAAGCAGCCCAUUGUACCUCGACGUUUUCUAGUCAUCGCGAUUUAAAUUAUGCUCGCUCGUCGCACGCUCUUGAUUCUCCUACUGCUCGUCGAACCAACUCGUUACGUCCCAUCCACUAUGAAAUUUAAUCGAUUCAUCGAACAAUUCUCCACUGCUAACUAGGGUGUUAAGUGGUUCGAGCUUCAACCUCUGGACAUGGUGCUUUUUCUUGGACCUGCAUCCGACGACUCUUCAGCAUUCCCGUCAAGAAAAUUGCUGUUAACAGGAAUGGAAAGUCGACUUGGUUCUUGCAGAUUCGAAACCCGCGGCCGCAGGAUAAUCACGGCGAGGCUACACGUUGCCCGCUCGCAGCCGGCUCGUUUAUUUCUUGCUCUCGAUCAUUGCCGCUCGAUGUGGCCACGCUUGAAAGAAGCCACGACAAACAUUUUUAUUAAUCCAACCGAACCAGCCGAUCAACCGGCAUCCCAUUACCUCUUCUGCCCUGCUCAUGCAUAUGAAUAACCGUUCGCGAAACAAUGUGAGUCUGCCAGAAAAACGGGAAAAAUAAGAACAGAAGAGGGAAGAAACGAGAAGGAACGAAGUAAAGCGGCGCGGAAUCGUCUAUCACUGCUUUUCAGGAUCUUAUCGGAUAGCAAGGCGAACCAUUCACGAGAGAGUGACACGCGCUGCGAACGCGUAGGUAUACAUACAGAAAAGCAUGCUCUAAAGUGAGUCACCAAAUUCGCGUGGGCUCGCAGCUGGCAAGUUCGAGAACGAGUAUCCGUCUUGCUCUUUAUCUACUGCCUUCAGGGUCUCUGGCUGACAAUGCUCGGAACACCGGAUACAUAUGUAUGUCCAAAGGGGGAGGCAGAGAGCGAGUCGCGAGCGUGUCUGGACGGAACGAAGAUGGAUAAGCGGGUACCUGGCUCGUCGACGGAUCGUUCGAUCACGAAAACCCGCUGAAAUUUGAACGAAGUCUCCACCGGUUACCGUAGAGGUACUCGAUCGUUAGUACGCUUAUACGGGUAACGCGAUCGCGCCCGUUUCCGCCUUUCGAUUCGUCGUUAUUGAUCUCCUUCGAUGCCGAUCGCGUGGGCGGUUAGAUCGUAACAGCUUUGAUUCUCUCCGAUGAUGUUUCUGGGAUACGGUGUUGGAAUUAAUGCCGUGUAAGCGGAGCGGAUAGUGGAUUACUACGAGCAUCGGGAAUUGUGAUUUUGAUUGAGAAAGGAAUUGAUACUCGUAUCAAGAAACGGGUGAUUCUUAAGUAUCGGAUACAUUUGAUUCUAAGAUAUAGAGGGUAUGAUAUAUCAGGAAUAGGCGAGGUAUUAAGUUUUUAAGAAGGGAAAGAAAUAGCCAUAUUUAGAGCAAAGACGCAAAUCUUUUAUUUAAUUUCAUUACAAUUGAAAACCUUCGAUUCUUAUACGCUUUCGUACACUUUUUCCUUCAAUCUCUAUUUUUCCUCUCCAAGAAGAAAAAGUUCAGCAAGGUGGACAUCCAUUCAUAGGAUCGAAAGCUAUGGCGAGAACAACGUUAGAAGAUUGGCUCGUUAAUCAUCUGUGAAAACGAUUCUUCCAUUCUUCGCCGCUGCUUGCUUACGCCUGCCCACGAAGGAUUCGCUU